rnacentral:rRNA from 1 species
CUUAGUUGAUCCUUCCAGUAGUCAUAUGCUUGUCUCAAAUAUUAAACCAUGCAUGUGUAAGUAUGAACAAAUUCAGAUUGUGAAACUUCGAAUGGCUCAUUAAAUCAGUUAUAGUUUGUUUCAUGGUAUCUACUACUCAGAUAACCAUAGUAAUUAUAGAGCUAAUAUGUACAACAAACCCUAACUUCUGGAAGGGAUGCAUUUAUUUGAUAAAAGUUCAACGCGGGCUCUGCCCAUUGUUGCGAUGAUUCAUGAUAACUCGGUGGAUCGCAUAGCUAUCAUAUCGGUGAUGCAUCAUUCAAAUUUUUACCCUAUCAACUUUUGAUGGUAGGAUGGUGGCCUACCAAGUGGUGUUAGGUGAUGGUGAAUUAGGGUUCAAUUUCAGAGAGGCAGCCUGAGAAAUAGGUACCAUAUCCAAGGAAGGCAUAAGGCACGCAAAUUACCUAAUCCUAACAUGUGGAGGUAGUGACAAUAAAUAACAAUACUGGGCUCAAUGAGUCUGCUAAUUAGAAUUAGUAAAAUCUAAAUCCCUCAACGAGGAUCCAUUGGAAGUUAAGUCUUGUACCAGUACCCGCGUUAAUUACAGCUCCAAUAGCAUAUAUUUAAGUUGUUGCAGUUAAAAAGAUCGUAGUUGAACUUUGGGAUGGGCCGGCCGGUCUGCCUAUGGUGUACACUGGUCGUCUUGACCCUUUUGUCAGUGAUAUGCUCCUGGCCUUAACUGGUCAGGUCGUGCCUCCGGCGCUGUUACUUUGAAGAAAUUAGAGUGCUUAAAGCAAUCCUACGCUCUGUAUACAUUAGCAUGGGAUAACAUUAUAGGAUUUUGGUCCUAAUACAUUGGCCUUUCGGAUCGUAGUAAUAAUUAACAGGGACAGUCGGGGGCAUUCGUAUUUCAUAGUUCGAGGUGAAACUCUUGGAUUUAUGAAAGAUGCACAACUGUGAAAGCAUUUGCCAAGGAUGUUUUAAUUAAUAAACAAGAAAAGUUGGGCGUUCGAAGAUGAUCAGGAACCGUCAUAAUCUCAACCAUAAAUGAUACCGAUCAAGGAUUGGUGGAUGUUGAUUUUAUGACUACACCGACACUUUAUAAGAAAUCAAAGUUUAUGAAUUUCGGGGGGAGUAUGGUCUCAAGGCUAAAACUUAAAGGAAUUGACGGAAGGGCACCACCAAGAGUGGAGCCUACGGCUUAAUUUGACUUAACACGGGGAAACUUACUAGGUCCAGUCAUAGUAAGGAUUGACAGACUGAGAGCUGUUUCUUGAUUCUAUAGGUGGAAUGGCAUGGCCAUUCUUAGUUGGAGGAGUGAUUUUUCUGGUUAAUUCUAUUAACAAACGAGAGCUCAUCCUGCUAAAUAGCUAUGUAGAGGUAUCUCUUCACGGCCAGCUUCUUAGAGGGAUUACGACAUUUUAGGCGACAGAAGUUUGAGGCAAUAACAAGUCUGUGAUUCCCUUAGAUGCUUUAGGCCGCACGCGCGCUACACUGAUAUUUUAAAUGAGUUUAUGGACUUGGCUGAUAGUCCUGGGUAAUCUAUGAAAUUUCAUCAUGAUAGGGAUAGAUCAUUGCAAUUGUUGGUCUACAACAAGGAAUUCCUAGUAAGUAUGACUCAUCAGCUCGCAUUGACUAUGUCCCUAUCCUUUGCACACACCGCCCGUCGCUCCUACUGAUUGAAUGAUACGGUAAAAUGUUUGGAUCAUAGUGAUGUGGAUGGUUUUCUGCCUGCGAUGUCGUGAGACAUCUAUUGAACCUUAUCAUUUAGAGGAAGGAGAAGUUUUAACAAGGUUUUCGUAGGUGAACCUGCAGAAG